GACGAGCCACACAAACGUUAUUCGGAAUCACUGGGCUUAAAGGGUGCGUAGGCGGCGCGGAAAGUUGGGUGUGAAAUCCCUCGGCUUAACCGAGGAAUUGCGCCCAAAACUACCGUGCUCGAGGGAGACAGAGGUGAGCGGAACUCAGGGUGGAGCGGUGAAAUGCGUUGAUAUCCUGAGGAACACCGGUGGCGAAAGCGGCUCACUGGGUCUCUUCUGACGCUGAGGCACGAAAGCUAGGGUAGCGAACGGG
rnacentral:rRNA from 1 species